rnacentral:rRNA from 1 species
UAACACUAUAAGACGAGAAGACCCCAUGGAGCUUUAAACCCAAUCAUAUUCCUAAUCCCUAUAACCAUUUAAUCUCUUAGGCCCUAUAUUCUUGGUUUUAGGUUGGGGCGACCACGGAGUAAAACCAAACCUCCAUGAUGUACGGAGCAACCUCCUUAUCUAAGAGCCACAACUCUAAGAAUUAGCACACUAUCAUAAAAUGACCCAUUAUUGAUCAACGAACCAAGUUACCCUGGGGAUAACAGCGCAAUCCACUUUAAGAGCCCCU